GCCGAAGUGGCGGAAUUGGUAGACGCGCUGGACUCAAAAUCCAGUGAUGGCAACAUCGUGCGGGUUCGAUUCCCGCCUUCGGUACCA
rnacentral:tRNA from 2 species